UACGGAGGGGGCUAGCGUUGUUCGGAAUUACUGGGCGUAAAGCGCGCGCAGGCGGCGAUCUACGUCUGGGGUGAAAGCCCGGAGCUCAACUCCGGGACUGCCUUGGAUACGGGAUCGCUUGAGGAUUGGAGAGGCAAGGGGAAUUCCACGUGUAGCGGUGAAAUGCGUAGAUAUGUGGAGGAACACCUGUGGCGAAGGCGCCUUGCUGGCCAAUUUCUGACGCUGAGGCGCGAAAGCGUGGGGAGCAAACAGG
rnacentral:rRNA from 1 species